AGUAAUGUAUGGGGAUCUGCCUGAUGGCGGGGGAUAACUACUGGAAACGGUAGCUAAUACCGCAUAAUGUCUACGGACCAAAGCGGGGGACCUCCGGGCCUCGCGCCAUCAGAUGAACCCAUAUGGGAUUAGCUAGUAGGUGAGGUAAUGGCUUACCUAGGCGACGAUCCCUAGCUGGUCUGAGAGGAUGAUCAGCCACACUGGGACUGAGACACGGCCCAG
rnacentral:rRNA from 1 species